rnacentral:rRNA from 1 species
CCUACGGGGGGCAGCAGUGGGGAAUAUCGCACAAUGGGCGCAAGCCUGAUGCAGCCAUGCCGCGUGUGUGAAGAAGGCCUUCGGGUUGUAAAGCACUUUCAGCGGGGAGGAAGGCGUUAAGGUUAAUAACCUUGGCGAUUGACGUUACCCGCAGAAGAAGCACCGGCUAACUCCGUGCCAGCUGCCGCGGUAAUACGGAGGGUGCAAGCGUUAAUCGGAAUUACUGGGCGUAAAGCGCACGCAGGCGGUCUGUCAAGUCGGAUGUGAAAUCCCCGGGCUCAACCUGGGAACUGCAUUCGAAACUGGCAGGCUAGAGUCUUGUAGAGGGGGGUAGAAUUCCAGGUGUAGCGGUGAAAUGCGUAGAGAUCUGGAGGAAUACCGGUGGCGAAGGCGGCCCCCUGGACAAAGACUGACGCUCAGGUGCGAAAGCGUGGGGAGCAAACAGGAUUAGAUACCCUGGUAGUC